AUUGAACGCUGGCGGCAUGCCUUACACAUGCAAGUCGAACGGUAACGGGCCUUCGGGUGCCGACGAGUGGCGAACGGGUGAGUAAUACAUCGGAACGUGCCCGAUCGUGGGGGAUAACGAGGCGAAAGCUUUGCUAAUACCGCAUACGAUCUACGGAUGAAAGCAGGGGACCGCAAGGCCUUGCGCGGACGGAGCGGCCGAUGGCAGAUUAGGUAGUUGGUGGGAUAAAAGCUUACCAAGCCGACGAUCUGUAGCUGGUCUGAGAGGAUGAUCAGCCACACUGGGACUGAGACACGGCCCAGACUCCUACGGGAGGCAGCAGUGGGGAAUUUUGGACAAUGGGCGCAAGCCUGAUCCAGCCAUGCCGCGUGCAGGAUGAAGGCCUUCGGGUUGUAAACUGCUUUUGUACGGAACGAAAAGCCUUCUUUUAAUACAGGGGGGUCAUGACGGUACCGUAAGAAUAAGCACCGGCUAACUACGU
rnacentral:rRNA from 1 species